UCGAAAUGCGCAGCUGAGCAUCAUCAUCAUUAUCAUAAUCGUCGUCGCCAUCAUUACAAUCGUCUUCACGGAAGUCUUAAAUGCAGUCCCGGGUGGUUGCUCUUGAUGGAGAACAGCGUCAUGACACCUACAUGGACAAAUGUGCUCAGAGCGCUGGAUGACUGCGCUCGGCGUCCGGCGGGACUUGAUGGGACUGACCUCGGAUGAGAAAGUAGCCGCCGAUCACCAGCACCACGCCGAUGGGCGCCAGCACGAAGCCAGCACGAAUUUGCACCCACUUGUGGCGUUACGCUCUGGAGAAGAGAUGAAAGGCAAAUGGGUUCACCAAAGUAUCCGAACACCGCCGGACUCACCCAGAAGAUGAAAUUGAAUAUGAAGAGCAGAUAUUUGACCACAGGGCUGACAAAGGAAAAGUCCUCAUCGUAACGCCCAAACGCGCCUCUUCCACGGCUCCCGCACAUCCUGUCACGCAAACAUCAGCCGCCUAGGGGUACAAGUUCCUCCAUGAAGGCGCGGAGUGUCCUUUUGGCUCCCGGUAUGAGUAUGGACGAGGUGAUCAACUCCACCCCUCCACCCAAACGUACACAAUACUAUGUCCCAAAAGGCCAAAA